GGCAGGGUGGGUGAGUCAUCCAAGAACUCAAAACCUGGCCCCUGUCUUUGUAGUGUGAGUUUAUGAGACUGUUUGCACAAUAAACCUCUGAACAGUUCUAUGAGGCUCUUUGUAUCUUAUGAAAAGAUUAGUUUAAGGGCUAAGGUCAGGAAUGAACAAAAUACAGUCCUUAUAAAUAUUCAUGUAUUCACUGAAAUAAAACAGUAAUUCCCCAGAGUGGAGGUGAGUGCACAGUGACACAGGAUGUCCUUUCCCUGACCUCAGAUUCGCAGUCUUCUCCAGCCCAGGGACACAAGAGAAAGAAGGCAUUGUAAGAAGGAAAAUGGAAGGGCACCUGGGGACUGAGAUUAUGUCCCCCACCCCUGCUCCCAGCUCGUCUCUGACUGCACACUGGAAUUACCUAAUGACAGCGUCCAACUCAGGCAAGUGUAUUUGUUUUAAAGGCAACCAGAGUUGAGAAAGCAUGAGUUCAACUGGCUUUCAGUGCUCAAACAGCAGAGUGGCAUUCCUCUCUUCUAACAAAGGUCCCAAGAAGGAAAAGGAGCUCCUUCCACUCCCCUCCUGACACCCUGCCUGGGCACAUUGGAGUUAGGAUGCUGGGAGCUGCCAGGAGAUGCACGGCCCAUGCAUCCUCUCCACAUAUGCUUCCUGGUCACUUAGUUUGGGCUCAAGACUGAGAGAUCCUGGCAAGAGUCCGGAGAGAAUGAACACCUCUGUCUGCUACAGCCCAUAGACACACACACCAUUCUGCCUUCCGAACAGCCCAGAUAGGAAAAUGGAAGUACAGAGAGAUUAAGUAACUUGUCAAUGAUCUCAUGGUGGGGAAGAGGCCCAGCUAGGAUUUGAACCCAGGCACUUUAAGUCUGGCUCCAGAACCCACUCUGUGAACCACUACAGUAUGCUACCUCUUGAACCAAAAAGACAUAAGAACACUUGAAGAUUUCCAAGUGCAAAAAAGGUACCCUAGAACUAAAAAAUAUUUUCAAGUCAAAAAUUCGGUAGAUGACUCCAAAUAGUCUGUUAAAAUUGCUGUUGAGGCCUGGAGCAAGCGAGCUGGUCACCACCAGCUGAUCAACACCAAAUGGAAGAAGAAACAGGUGCAACUAUGGAGAUGCAGCACAGAGUGAUGGAAAUCAGGAGGGAAGCAGAGAGACCUGGAGGACAGAUCUAGGCAACUAACAUGCAAAUAAUAGGAGUUCUUGAAGGAGUUUGAAAGCCGCAGAUGGGAGAGAGACGAUCAACAGACAACAGAGAGUCACUUCCCUGAGCCAAGAAAACACUGAGUGUGAGGAAGGAGAAGCUUACGUAUUCUAUUUUAAUGUCUUAAUGUAACCUUAUGCUUAUGACUUAUUUUAUUCUGUUGUUUAUUAUUUUUCCCUCUUCCUAGUGUUUGCUAGUGUGAUCUCUUGGAUAUACAUUUUCUUUCCCCACUUUGUUAAUGUGGGCAUUUGGUUGUAUAUUUCCAUUCUAUCAGUGUUCCCUUUAUCUCUUCCGGCAUUCAGAAUCAACUCUAUUUCUUUAUUGUAUACGAAAAUAAUUUACAACUAUUCCCUCUCCAGGAACUCCAUUCCCUUUCUACUGUCAGCCCCCAGCAUGACCUGUGGAACACACCAUGCCCCUACUCUCUCCCCGUCAGCCUAGGCUACAUGUUUAAAGUGACUUACUUUCCCCUCUGCUUCUCCAAUCCCUCACCGCUAGAUUUUUCUGAAAGCAUUUAGUAAUUAUCAUUUCAGAAUAUGAUUGUAAUUUCCCAGGAAUACAUGUUUUCUAUUUUAAGAAUUCUUGUGUGUAGACCCUAUAUUAUAAAUUCCCGAUCAG
rnacentral:lncRNA from 1 species